rnacentral:rRNA from 1 species
UACGGAGGGUGCGAGCGUUGUCCGGAAUCACUGGGCGUAAAGGGCGCGUAGGUGGCCUGUGGAAGUCUGCGGUGAAAGCCCGGCGCUCAACGCCGGGUCGGCCGUGGAUACUCUCGGGCUCGAGCUUACUAGAGGCAGAUGGAAUUCCGGGUGUAGCGGUGGAAUGCGUAGAGAUCCGGAAGAACACCGGUGGCGAAGGCGGUCUGCUGGGGUAAUGCUGACACUGAGAAGCGAAAGCAUGGGGAGCGAACAGG